rnacentral:rRNA from 1 species
AUUGAACGCUGGCGGCAUGCUUUACACAUGCAAGUCGAACGGUAACAGGUUAAGCUGACGAGUGGCGAACGGGUGAGUAAUGCAUCGGAACGUGCCCGAUCGUGGGGGAUAACACUUCGAAAGAAGUGCUAAUACCGCAUACGAUCUGAGGAUGAAAGCGGGGGACCGUAAGGCCUCGCGCGAUCGGAGCGGCCGAUGUCAGAUUAGGUAGUUGGUGGGGUAAAGGCCUACCAAGCCGACGAUCUGUAGCUGGUCUGAGAGGACGACCAGCCACACUGGGACUGAGACACGGCCCAGACUCCUACGGGAGGCAGCAGUGGGGAAUUUUGGACAAUGGGCGCAAGCCUGAUCCAGCAAUGCCGCGUGCAGGAAGAAGGCCUUCGGGUUGUAAAUUGCUUUUGUACGGAGCGAAACGGCUUCCACUAAUACUGGGGGCUAAUGACGGUACCGUAAGAAUAAGCACCGGCUAACUACGUGCCAGCCGCCGCGGUAA